rnacentral:rRNA from 1 species
AAACUAACAAGGAUUCCCCUAGUAACUGCGAGUGAAGCGGGAAAAGCUCAAAUUUAAAAUCUGGCGGUCUUUGGCCGUCCGAGUUGUAAUCUAGAGAAGUGUUACCCGCGUCGGACCGUGUACAAGUCUCCUGGAAUGGAGCGUCAUAGAGGGUGAGAAUCCCGUCUUUGACACGGACUACCGAGGCUUUGUGGUGCGCUCUCAAAGAGUCGAGUUGUUUGGGAAUGCAGCUCAAAAUGGGUGGUAAAUUCCAUCUAAAGCUAAAUAUUGGCGAGAGACCGAUAGCGAACAAGUACCGUGAGGGAAAGAUGAAAAGAACUUUGGAAAGAGAGUUAAACAGUACGUGAAAUUGCUGAAAGGGAAACGCUUGAAGUCAGUCGCGUCCUCCGGGAAUCAGCCUUCCUUCUGGUUGGUGUACUUCCUGGUGGACGGGCCAGCAUCAGUUUUGACCGGUGGAAAAAGUUGGAGGGAAUGUGGCACCUUCGGGUGUGUUAUAGCCCUCCUUCGUAUACAUCGGUUGGGACUGAGGAACUCAGCACGCCGCAAGGCCGGGAUUCGUCCACGUUCGUGCUUAGGAUGCUGGCAUAAUGGCUUUAAUCGAC